rnacentral:tRNA from 1 species
GCGGACGUGGCUCAGUGGUAGAGCACGACCUUGCCAAGGUCGGGGUCGCGGGUUCGAAUCCCGUCGUCCGCU